rnacentral:misc_RNA from 1 species
AAAGAAUUAUACUUUUUUAAUUUGAGAGGGCAGAAUAAAAAUUUUAAAAAUAGUAUGAGGGGGCAGAUAAUAGCAAGUGAUAAAAUUUUCCUACAAUAUAUAGUAUUUGUGAAGGGUUUUUCCAAAAUGUUGGGGAGGGAGGCGCAAUUGCUUCCCCUCCCUGUGGAUCCAACACUGAAUAAUUGAACCUGCUGUUCACUAAAUUGAAGGAUAAAUAUCUGAUUGGAAGAAAAAUUGUGGCUUGCAACAACCACAGCCAUUUCCUUGAUGAUGUUGACAGGUAAAUAGGGCAACUAGUGUUCAAUAAAUGAAUUCAUGAUUACAAUUUUCAAACAGUUCCAAACUUAGAUACAUCACAAUGAAGUGGUAUAGAAGGUUGAAAUUGCAGGAGAAAAAGACAGGUAAACUUAAAAAAGCAAAGGGUGAAUUAAUGAAAAAGGAUAUAACAGCCCUAAACUGUGCAGAAUGGAAG